rnacentral:rRNA from 1 species
CCCUACGGGGCGCAGCAGGCGCGAAAACCUCGCACUGUGCGAAAGCACGACGAGGGAAUCCCAAGUGCUGGCUCGUUAGAGUCAGCUGUUUCUCUGUCUAAAAAACAGAGAGAGUAAGGGCUGGGUAAGACGGGUGCCAGCCGCCGCGGUAAUACCUGCAGCCCAAGUGGUGACUGUUAUUAUUGGGCCUAAAACGUCCGUAGCCGGUUUAGUAAAUGCCUGGGUAAAUCGUACGGCUUAACCGUACGAAGUCCGGGUAGACUGCUGAACUUGAGAUCGGGAGAGGCUAGAGGUACUCCUGGGGUAGAGGUGAAAUCCUGUAAUCC